UUGAUGUGACUGAAAGGCAUAUGCCACAGAGAUUCAGGAACUCACUGAAGAUCAGUCGGAGAGAAGACACACGAAGAUGAAAGACAUCAUGGUCUGGUUGAUGCUGCUGUGGACAAUGCCUCUGCUAUCUGCAGGCAAUCAAUUAACACGGGCAAAAGCAGGAGCAGCUGCAGGGGGUGUCAAGGGUAUAUACACAGGAGCAAAAGAGGGAUACAGCCAUGGGGGUGCACGUGGAGGAGCAGCGGGUGGAAGAGCUGGAGGAAUAGCUGGAAUAAAAUCAGAUGAAAAAUGGGCUAACAGAUGGGCUGGCGAAAUUCUCGGAAGUGUCAUUGAUGACAUCACAGGACUAGGUGGAACGAUUGGAGAAACAGUGGGUGAAUGUACUAGAAGGGAGACUGACAAACUUCUCAGAAUUGUAGUAGGGACAUGGAAUGAAGGGGUUGCAGGAUAUGUGCAGGAUGUUUCACUGGGAAUGCUGUUAUUGGAAAAGGAAUUAAGGGGUUGCAGGAUAUGUGCAGGAUGUUUCACUGGGAAUGCUGUUAUUGUUGUUAUGAUGAGACACCUCUGUCCAAUUGUUCUCAUCGCAUUAUUAUUUGCAAAUGAUCGCAGUUUGUGUCACUGAACAAUAUCUUAUAUUUUUCUGUUUGGAAGAAAUUUCAAACUUGAAAAAGUGCAUCACAUGAACCAUUCAUCAUGAACCCUUUUCUUGAAAUAGAAAAACAAAAACAAGUACUAACUAAAGCACAUGGGAUAUGGGAUCUGAUUUGUUUUCAUUAAUAGAAUAAGGCAGUGAUUAAAGUUAUAAUUGUUGAUUUUUUUAUAUUCAUCAUACAAUUUAGAAUCUUAGAAUCUAAACGUGAGCUUAAAGCACUCCGGUUUUUACAUUCGAUUACUUGGACCCCAUUAUUCUCCAUACAACCCCACACACCAGCCGUUGGUGCUGUUCAGGAAAAUCCAUUGUGACAAAAUGAACCAACUUCUGUGUAGCCUAAUAAUUUGUGUCGCCAGUGUGUGGGGGCAAACAACAUUUCCACUUGGGAUGUGUAGCCAUGUCGGGGCCAAUGUGCGCACCCCUUAAGUCUACAGUACUUAUGGAAUUAACAACUGAAUAAAUGUGUCAGGUGCCAAUGUGCGCACCCCUUAAGUCUACAGUACUUAUGGAAUUAACAACUUAAUAAAUGUAUAGACUUCUCCCUUA